rnacentral:rRNA from 1 species
GAUGAACGCUAGCUACAGGCUUAACACAUGCAAGUCGCGGGGCAGCACUGUGGUUGCUUGCAACCACUGGUGGCGACCGGCGCACGGGUGAGUAACGCGUAUCCAACCUGCCCUGCAGUGGGGAACAGCCCGGCGAAAGUCGGAUUAAUGCCCCAUAGCGUCCUCGGCGGGCAUCUAAUGAGGACUAAAGGCUUCGGCCGCUGCGGGAUGGGGAUGCGUAGGAUUAGGCAGGCGGCGGGGCGACGGCCCACCGCGCCGACGAUCCUUAGGGGUUCUGAGAGGAAGGUCCCCCACACUGGUACUGAGACACGGACCAGACUCCUACGGGAGGCAGCAGUGAGGAAUAUUGGUCAAUGGGCGCGAGCCUGAACCAGCCAAGUAGCGUGCAGGAAGACGGCCCUACGGGUUGUAAACUGCUUUUAUGCGGGGAUAAAGUGGGCUACGCGUAGCCCUUUGCAGGUACCGCAUGAAUAAGGACCGGCUAAUUCCGUGCCAGCAGCCGCGGUAAUACGGAAGGUCCGGGCGUUAUCCGGAUUUAUUGGGUUUAAAGGGAGCGCAGGCUGAUUGUUAAGCGUGACGUGAAAUGUAGCCGCUCAACGGCUGAACUGCGUCGCGAACUGGCAGUCUUGAGUGAGUACGACGUCAGCGGAAUUCGUGGUGUAGCGGUGAAAUGCUUAGAUAUCACGAAGAACCCCGAUUGCGAAGGCAGCUGACGAGUCCUUUACUGACGCUAAAGCGCGAAGGUGCGGGUAUCAAACA